AGAGUUUGAUCAUGGCUCAGAACGUACGCUGGCGGCACGCCUAACACAUGCAAGUCGAACGAAGUAGCAAUACUUAGUGGCAGACGGGUGAGUAACAUGUAGGUAUCUACACUUUGGCCUGGAAUAACACGAGGAAACUUGUGCUAAUACCGGAUAAGUCUUUACGGAGAAAGCUUUAUGCACCAUUGGAUGAGCCUGCACUUGAUUAGUUUGUUGGUAGGGUAACGGCCUACCAAGACUUUGAUCAAUAGCUGAUUUGAGAGGAUGAUCAGCCACAUUGGGACUGAGACACGGCCCAAACUCCUACGGGAGGCAGCAGUGGGGAAUCUUGCACAAUGGAGGAAACUCUGAUGCAGCGAUGCCGCGUGAGUGAAGAAGGCCCUUGGGUUGUAAAGCUCUUUCGUCGGGGAAGAAAAUGACUGUACCCGAAUAAGAAGGUCCGGCUAACUUCGUGCCAGCAGCCGCGGUAAUACGAAGGGACCUAGCGUAGUUCGGAAUUACUGGGCUUAAAGAGUUCGUAGGUGGUUGAAAAAGUUGGUGGUGAAAUCCCAGAGCUUAACUCUGGAACUGCCAUCAAAACUUUUCAGCUAGAGUUUGAUAGAGGAAAGCAGAAUUUCUAGUGUAGAGGUGAAAUUCGUAGAUAUUAGAAAGAAUACCAAUUGCGAAGGCAGCUUUCUGGAUCAUUACUGACACUGAGGAACGAAAGCAUGGGUAGCGAAGAGGAUUAGAUACCCUCGUAGUCCAUGCCGUAAACGAUGUGUGUUAGACGUUGGAAAUUUAUUUUCAGUGUCGCAGCGAAAGCGAUAAACACACCGCCUGGGGAGUACGACCGCAAGGUUAAAACUCAAAUGAAUUGACGGGGACCCGCACAAGUAGUGGAGCAUGUGGUUUAAUUCGAAGAUACGCGCAGAACCUUACCAACACUUGACAUGUUCGUCGCGACUUUAAGAGAUUAAAGUUUUCGGUUCGGCCGGACGAAACACAGGUGCUGCAUGGCUGUCGUCAGCUCGUGUCGUGAGAUGUUGGGUUAAGUCCCGCAACGAGCGCAACCCUCACUUUUAGUUGCCAUCAUUAAGUUGGGCACUCUGAAAGAACUGCCAGUGAUAAGCUGGAGGAAGGUGGGGAUGACGUCAAGUCCUCAUGGCCCUUACGUGUUGGGCUACACACGUGCUACAAUGGUAUCUACAACAGGAAGCAAAACGGCGACGUUAAGCAAAUCCUUAAAAGAUACCUCAGUUCGGAUUGCACUCUGCAACUCGAGUGCAUGAAGCUGGAAUUACUAGUAAUCGUGGAUCAGCGUGCCACGGUGAAUGCGUUCCCGGGUCUUGUACACACCGCCCGUCACACCAUGGGAGUUGGUUCUACCUUAAGGCAAGGUUUAAAAUCCUUGACCACGGUAUAGUCAGCGACUGGGGUGAAGUCGUAACAAGGUAACCGUA
rnacentral:rRNA from 1 species